AUGAGCAGGAUCACCAUUUUUGUGUUAGAUAAAACAGACUUUAAACCAACAAUGGUUAAAAAAAAAAAAGGACAAGGAAGGACAUUACGUAAAAAUAAAGGAAUUUAUUUUAUUACCUACUUUUAUAAAAAGUGUGUUCUUCAUUUUUGAAUAAACUAAUUGUCAUUUGGAUCUCUUGGGUGUUUCAGGGUAAAGCUAUUUAAGCUAUUAGCAGAAAGAAUAUGAUAAAAUUUCUGCAGUUAAUCUAUAAGCAAACUUUUCACAUAAAAAUAAACGAAUUUAUUUUAUUAUUUACUUUUAUAAGAAGUAGGUAAUAUUACUGCAAUGAAGUAAAGUGAGUCUAUUGUGCUGUGGUGCAAUACGACAGGCAGCAGGAAUGAAACAGAGAGAGGAUAAAGGGACAGGACUGAUUAGUGACUAGGUGAUCCCUCAUUUCAGGAAUUUGAGCUGAACAUAUUUUACAAGCUGGUACAAAUUAUAACAGCUAAAGCACAUUUAGGGCAUCUAAAAUGUGAGUAAUCACAUUUUGAAGUCAUAUAAAAGAGGAAAUCUGUCCAGUUUGACAUUCUUUCAUUUAUUUAAGCUGACGAAAUUAGAUGACCUUCUCAAUGACAACAAUAUCCACACCUCUUCUAUUGGAAGGGCUAUCAAAACUUCUCCACAAAUCAAAAUAUGCCCCAAAUAUAUUUCUGGCCUCUUUGCAUAAACCUCAC
rnacentral:lncRNA from 1 species